UGGACACCAACAGUUCAGGAAGUUGUUGAUCUUUGAAGCUAUAACUGCUCCGUCGACUUCAACGCCGUGGAAGGACUCACUUGUGAGACUACCUAACCCCGCUGUGUCAACUGUUGCUCCCGAGUCACUGUCUGAGAGAGAUGAUAAUUUCUCCGUUGCUGGAGUCCAGGAGUUAGACAUUAGUGGUCCCGAAGAGACAGCUCUUCAGCAAUUGGAUUCAAGGUAUGGUAAUUAUAAUUAUAAUUUUUUUUCCAUUUAUUUAAAAAAAAUGCACGCUGCUUUACUU
rnacentral:lncRNA from 1 species